rnacentral:rRNA from 1 species
UUCCGGUUGAUCCCGCCGGAGGUCACUGCUAUCGGGGUUCGAUUAAGCCAUGCGAGUCGAGAGGGUUCAGACCCUCGGCGGACUGCUCAGUAACACGUGGAUAACCUGCCCUAUGGUGGAGGAUAACCCCGGGAAACUGGGGAUAAUACUCCAUAAGUCAGGAGUACUGGAAUGUCUCCUAACUGAAAGUUUCGGCGCCAUAGGAUGAAUCUGCGGCCGAUUAGGUAGUUGUUGGGGUAACGGCCCAACAAGCCCGUAAUCGGUACGGGUUGUGGGAGCAAGAGCCCGGAGAUGGAAUCUGAGACACGAUUCCAGGCCCUACGGGGCGCUGCAGGCGCGAAAACUUUACAAUGCAGGAAGCUGUGAUAAGGGAACCCCGAGUGCCCGUACACGCGGGCUGUCCCGGUGUUUAAAACACAUCGGAAGAAAGGGCCGGGCAAGACCGGUGCCAGCCGCCGCGGUAAUACCGGCGGCUCGAGUGGUGACCACUUUUAUUGGGCUUAAAGCGUUCGUAGCUUGAUUUUUAAGUCUCUUGGGAAAUCUCACGGCUUAACUGUGAGGCGUCUAAGAGAUACUGGGAAUCUAGGGACCGGGAGAGGUAAGAGGUACUUCAGGGGUAGAAGUGAAAUUCUGUAAUCCUUGAGGGACCACCGAUGGCGAAGGCAUCUUACCAGAACGGCUUCGACAGUGAGGAACGAAAGCUGGGGGAGCGAACGGGAUUAGAUACCCCGGUAGUCCCAGCCGUAAACUAUGCGCGUUAGGUGUGCCUGUAACUACGAGUUACCGGGGUGCCGAAGUGAAAACGUGAAACGUGCCGCCUGGGAAGUACGGUCGCAAGGCUGAAACUUAAAGGAAUUGGCGGGGGAGCACCACAACGGGUGGAGCCUGCGGUUUAAUUGGAUUCAACGCCGGA